rnacentral:tmRNA from 1 species
GCCCUUGAACCUGCCCCGCAAUACGCCCAUAUUUGGCAUGUUCCUUCGGGAACUAUGGGCAUAAACGUGCGUGAAAUAAGCGGUUCGGACCCGGGGGCGGUACCCGGCGGCUCCACCAAACAUCCCGUCGUUGGGGGAUCAUGGGGCCGAAACAGGAUCGACGAGCGUGUAAAGACGUGGCUUUGUCCCGGUGAGGUACCACCGUUAUCGGUCCGUAAAGCAUAAUUGCCAACGACAAUCGUGCUCCGGUUGCUCUGGCUGCGUAAGCAGUUCGAGGAAUCGAAAUUUAAGCCCUUGCGCCUAGCCGCGUAAGGCGGGGUUCGCAGGCACCUGGCAACAGAAGCCUGCACU